UACGUAGGGUGCAAGCGUUGUCCGGAAUUAUUGGGCGUAAAGGGCUCGUAGGCGGUCCAUUGCGUCGGGAGUGAAAAGCUGGGGCUUAACCCCAGUCCUGCUUCCGAUACGGGUGGACUAGAGGUAGGCAGGGGAGAAUGGAAUUCCUGGUGUAGCGGUGAAAUGCGCAGAUAUCAGGAGGAACACCGGUGGCGAAGGCGGUUCUCUGGGCCUUACCUGACGCUGAGGAGCGAAAGCGUGGGGAGCAAACAGG
rnacentral:rRNA from 1 species